UAGGGACAGCCUAUUCUUCUCCAGGACCUGAACAAUGAAGGUCUCAAACAAAGGCAGCUCCCACAGCUGGGGAAAGGAUGCUGGAGGUCAGGGCUCCUCCCUUAACCCCUGCUGAGUCAGAGCAGCAGCCUAUCUGCACCUCAGCCAGACUCCGGAAAAUCAUUGAACCACGUAAACCACAGCACCGUGGAGACACUGAAAGGAGCUAAUGCUCAGUUCAUACAAACCACGUGGUUAUUGAAACUCAGGAUGAAAAAGAAAUCAAUGACAGAGCCAGACAGAAGACACAGUAACAAGUACUCAGAGGCUCAUGGAGAUGCUACAAGCUGUUGACUGAAUUUCAGGCCAGUUUAGACAUCACUCCUUCUGCCUUUCCAGAGCCCAUCAAUGUCUCAUUCUAGCUUCCAAGAGCCUGGACCCACCGGAAAAGAAAUUGGCCUCAACUUAGUGCAGAGGCUUGGACAUUGUGAAACCCAAAUGAAUGGGCAGCAGAAGCAGGAGCCUGGAGAGGGAUCAGCAAAAGGAACCUCAUGCUCCUAUUAAGUGACAUUUUUACAGAGGAAUCACAGGAUAGAAAGUUUGUAAAAAGCCAAUGAUCCAGAAAGAAACUUCAGCAUCCAACUGGUAUCCUUUAGUUUGUAUCCACCAGUUUAUAUUGGGACUCUCUGCUUUUUCAAGAGCUCCUUGCCUGUCCCAGUGAAGAUCAAGAGGUUUCAGAGCUGGUGGUGAGCACAGAGGCUUUGCAACUGGGAUUUUUGACCUGUUUCAGGUAGUGCAACACAGGUUCAUUCAUUCUCAGCUGGAAAGACUGAAUCAACAUAUAGCUGAGAGAGUAGCAGAACACCACUAUUAUUACUUUAUUAUUCCCCACCCAGAAGUGAAUGGGAAAUAAUAAAUUUAAAUAUUUGGAUGAAACUGUCCAAAGAAAAUUCAGGUCAUGAGAAAAUAAAUGUUUCUCAAUGAUGUAGUUUAUGAGACUACAAAGUAAUCACAGAAGUGAAAUAUGGGAACCCCAAAUUUGAGACAUCCAGAAACCAUCUGACCACUUUCUUCCCCCUCCUAGUUUUCCCAGUGCUCUGACUGCACAGUUAGUUCUGCAAGGCCAGGUUUGGUUUCAGAGUGAUUAAUGAUUACCCGCAGCAACAUUUUUUUUUCAAUCCCUUCUGGAGAUCAGGGGAGGAGGAAAAAAAAAUGCAGCUCUGCCUCAUGAUUCCUGCUCUCAGCAGGGCUGGACUCUUGGAAUACCACUGGGAGCUGCAGGUGUAGCAAAAUCACCAGGAGAGGAUUUGCUCCAUCUCCCAACUCUCCUGCUCAUCCCUUCCAAGCUGACCUUCCUUUACUUUCCUGUUAUUUACAUGAAUGAGCUCCUCCCCAAAGAGUUUGCUGAGUGAUAAGAGCUCAGAUCAUCCAUUACCCACCUUGUGCUGGGUGGCUGCUGUGGUUGGAAGGAGAUUUGCAUGUGGUCAGACACACAGCCCUGCAAUCACAGCCUCCCUGAAUUGCACAUUAGCAUGAAUCAAAGCCUGGCUGCAGAGAUGUUGCCUUUCUAUUUUGUCCCUAUAAUGGUUUCUGUUCUGCCUGCUGCUGCUGAAAAAAUCCUUGCUUUGGAAUCAAAUUGAACCUGAAAGUGUUAUUGGGCUUCACCACAAACGAGUCAGUUUUAGGCAGCAGAUCCAGUUCCCAGUGGAACAGCCUUGCCCUUGCUGAGUUAAGCUCCCUGUGCCAGUGUUUCCUGUUUUCUCAUGGUCUUUGGAACUUUAUAUUUAAGUCAUAUAAAAGCAUUAAAUCAGAAUUUAGGUACACUAAGAAACAUUGAAAUGAUAAAUUGCCUAAUCCUAAUAAAUGCACAGAAAUAAAUAGGUAUGGAAUACUGAAAAGGUACCUCUAGAGUUUGUCCUCAGAGUAGUACAGACAGUGUAAAAGACAUGAUUAUACAUUCUUGUGCCAAGAAGUGAGACCAUGUGAUGCCUAGACAUUAUCUCAUUAGCAUCCUGUUCAUUCUCAAAUCUAAAUCCAGAUAACAAUUGUUUAACUUUAAUUUUGUGUGUGCACAUAUAAUUUGUUCAUUGUCCACCUUUAUGUGAAGCCAAGACAUUCAAGGCUGCUGCAAACACAUGAAUUUCAUUCCUGCAGCAGAUGAGCAAAUUCUACAGGUCCUUUCUGUGGGUUCAAAAAGUGCCUUUGAAAAAGUGUGUUUAAAUUACUCUCUUUGCACCCAAGGAAAUGAAUGAAUUUGUGCUGACCAUACCACUUACAGGUCACUAAAAUAUGUACCAUGACCUAAACCCCCUUACUUCCUUCUCUCUCAGGGCAAAUACAUUAGGAGCAUUUCAUGUGAGAUGCUGCUAUAGUUGGAGAAAGGAAAGACAAUCUGAUAAAAAUCACACCAGACACUCUGGGGGAAGAGGAAAAACAUCCUGUCUCAAAAUUUGAUUCCACUCAUGUUGCCCUCCAAAUGCUGGAGAAGUCACUGAGGUGCUGCACUUGGUUCAUAUCUGAAUGGAAUGCUGAGGUUACCUCCAACACCUCAGAAUUUUUUUUUUUUUAACAGCUUACAAAUCAUUUAUGGAAUUACAAACAAGAGGUUCUCUGGUUACAAAGGGGUGGCAUUAGCCCUGGAAAAUCAGAGUUUCUCCCAGGACAUUACUCAGUGGAUCAUGUAACCAUCUUUCAAAGGGAGAGACUGAAACACCAGCACCACUGCAGAGCAAGGCUGUGGGGGCAAAGAUAACUUUUAUAGCACUGUGCUGGUGUUCCUACCUUGCUGCUGAUACUCAAAUGUGGCAUUUUAACAUUGUAUCUCCCAUUACCCCAAUUUUAAUGCAGCUCAGGGGAGUUUUGUGUUAGAUUUUAAGUCUGACUGAUGAGGGAAUUGAUGUUGGGCUUCUGUAAGAAAUUUGUCUUGUAACAGUACAAAAUGUUGAUGAAGUAACUAAAACAAUACAAAACCACUGUGAAACAUAUUAAAUGGAUUAAGAAUUGGCUAACUUCAGGUUUUAAAUAUUAUAACCAGAGAAAUUUUCUUAGAGUGGGUGUGUGUUUGGACAGAUCCCGUAGGGACUAUUUCUUGGCUCUAUACUACUGUAUUUUAUCAACAGCUUAGGAAAAAACCCUUUAAAUCAUUAUCAACAAAUUUUUGAGAUGAAAAAGGCUGGGAAAAUGGUCAAAAGAAGGAACCCAGGUCACUGAUACUACUGGGUAAUUGGCAAUCUGAAGGUAAGCAAGUACAACCAAGUUAAGUCACAACAUUGGAGAAAGAAGAUAUUUGCCUGGUGGGGGCUGCAGUGGUUCUACACUGGAAAGUCAUGACCAAAAAAGGGUUGCAAGUAAUGGUGAGUAAUCAGCUGUCCAUGAACUGACCUAAUAUUUGUAUGUAUAAGCAGAGGAAAUCCAGGGUGAUAAUGUUCUCUGGGUAUUCCCCAUCUCCUGAAACUGCUGCCAACCCAUUGUGCCCUGCUCUUGCAUCCACAAAGCAACUGGGAGGCUGAGAAGCUGGAGACAAUUCAAGAAAGAGGCACAAGAAUGUACACAAGUCUGUGAAAGAUGACUUGCAGGGAGAGAUUUAAGGAGCUGGGUCCAUUUAGCUCAUCAAAAGAAAGCUAAAGGAUGGCUGGACACCAAUCCAAGAACCUCCAGGGAGGAAUUCAGAAUCAGUUGUCUUUUGUCUUGCUAACAGGAAUGUCCCAUGCCACCAGCCUUGCUCUGAGUUCCCACACCAGGUGCACACCUUGGCCAUGUCCUGCCACCUUAGCAGGGGGACACGCUGACCUUUCUCUCAAAGAGGAGUCCAGGUGCCUGCUCCAAACAGAGCUUGGCACACUCUGACAGGUCCCUCAGCUGGUUCAGGGACCAGGAGCCUGUUGCACACCAGAUUUUCAGUGUGAAUGUGGCCAAAGAAUUUGGGGCUGGGAUCCUUCAUCUCUGUUUUCAUUCUGUGGUUUUUGUCUCUGUUCUGAUCCUGGGGCCAAAGAACUGUUGCAUUGCUUGAGAGAUGUGAAUCUGGUGGCACAGGCUGGUCUCAGGACAAGCACUCCCAAAGCUCUCAUCUGAUCUCUCAAGCGAGAAGCUAAACCAGAAGACAGAGAUCGCAGACUCAGGCAGAGAAGUGCUGUGCCUUUUCCCCCAAAAUCCAGGAAGGAUUAUUGCACUCACCAUCUUGAGCACGAGAAAAGGGAAAAGGCUGGAGAGCAGCAACACUUCAGAACACUGUGCAUGAGAAAGACAUUAAAAAUAAGUUAUUUACUGAGCCCAUAUCUCGGCAGCAUUUAUUUCUCUCGUCCUACCUGCCCCUUUUGGAGACCUCUUAUCCCAUCACUUCAAAGGCCAGUAGCCAAACACGACAGUUACACAAAGGUCAGACGGGUGG